UACGGAGGAUGCGAGCGUUAUCCGGAUUUAUUGGGUUUAAAGGGUGCGUAGGUGGUUUGUUAAGUUUGUGGUGAAAGCGUGCGGCUCAACCGUACCAAGCCAUGAAAACUGGCGAACUUGAGUGCAAACGAGGUAGGCGGAAUGUGAUGUGUAGCGGUGAAAUGCUUAGAUAUGUCACAGAACCCCGAUUGCGAAGGCAGCUUACCAGCAUGCAACUGACACUGAGGCACGAAAGCGUGGGUAUC
rnacentral:rRNA from 1 species